AAUAGUGUAAAUAGCAGUAUAAAUAGUAGCAAGCAAGAGAAAAAGUUAAAAAAACGAAUGUAUCGUACAAAGUCUAAUGCAUAGGAUUUUUUUACAAAAAUUGAUACAACACAUGCUCGAUGCAAUAUUUGUAAGAAAAUAUUUAAAAAUUGUGGGAAUACUACUAACUUUUUGAUACAUAUAAAGAAACAACAUGAAGUCGAAUUUAAUAAACAAUAUUUAAGUGGUUCAGAUUCUGAAGGAUUAUGUUCCGAGGAUUCAAAAUCAAUCACCUCCACAAAUGUCUGUGUUUCAGAUGGAUGGACAUCCAAUGCAAAUGAAAGCUAUUUGGGUAUUACGUGUCACUUUUUUAAAGUAACUAAUUUUUUGACUUUGCAUUCUACUACCUUAGAUGUAAUAUUAAUUGAAAAAGACGAGACUGCAAAUAACUUAAGUCAGUUAAUCAGAAACUGUUUAACUGAUUGGGAAAUAUUUGACAAAGUGAAUCAUAUUGUAACUGAUAAUGCAGCAAACAUGAAGCUAACUGUUGAGUUGCUCAAUAAAAAACAUUUUCCAUGUUUUGCACAUAGUCUCAAUCUCGUUUUGAAAAAUGCUAUUACAAAAUGUAAUAACAAAGAGGUUCUUUCAAUUAUUACAAAAUGUAAAAACUU